rnacentral:rRNA from 1 species
UGGGGAAUAUUGGACAAUGGGCGAAAGCCUGAUCCAGCAAUGCCGCGUGCAGGAAGAAGGCCUUCGGGUUGUAAACUGCUUUUGUACGGAACGAAAAGGCUCUUUCUAAUAAAGAGGGCCCAUGACGGUACCGUAAGAAUAAGCACCGGCUAACUACGUGCCAGCAGCCGCGGUAAUACGUAGGGUGCGAGCGUUAAUCGGAAUUACUGGGCGUAAAGCGUGCGCAGGCGGUUCUAUAAGACAGAUGUGAAAUCCCCGGGCUCAACCUGGGAAUGGCAUUUGUGACUGUAGAGCUAGAGUACGGUAGAGGGGGAUGGAAUUCCGCGUGUAGCAGUGAAAUGCGUAGAUAUGCGGAGGAACACCGAUGGCGAAGGCAAUCCCCUGGACCUGUACUGACGCUCAUGCACGAAAGCGUGGGGAGCAAACAGGAUUAGAUACCCCCGUAGUCCCUGAGCGGGCUGGCAAGGCGCAU